GAUGAACGCUGGCGGCGUGCCUAAUACAUGCAAGUCGAGCGAACAGACGAGGAGCUUGCUCCUCUGACGUUAGCGGCGGACGGGUGAGUAACACGUGGAUAACCUACCUAUAAGACUGGGAUAACUUCGGGAAACCGGAGCUAAUACCGGAUAAUAUAUUGAACCGCAUGGUUCAAUAGUGAAAGACGGUUUUGCUGUCACUUAUAGAUGGAUCCGCGCCGCAUUAGCUAGUUGGUAAGGUAACGGCUUACCAAGGCAACGAUGCGUAGCCGACCUGAGAGGGUGAUCGGCCACACGGGAACGGAGACACGGUCCAGACUCCUACGGGAGGCAGCAGUAGGGAAUCUUCCGCAAUGGGCGAAAGCCUGACGGAGCAACGCCGCGUGAGUGAUGAAGGUCUUCGGAUCGUAAAACUCUGUUAUUAGGGAAGAACAAAUGUGUAAGUAACUAUGCACGGCUUGACGGUACCUAAUCAGAAAGCCACGGCUAACUACGUG
rnacentral:rRNA from 1 species